UUUCAUUUGGGUCUUUCAAAAUUCAUUUUGCUUCGAUGUAGUGGGUGCUUUCAAUCAUUUUAUUCAGGCUUCUGAGAAGCUCUGAGACAAAUUUAUGAUCCAUCACUGAAAUAUUAUACAAGCUGGAGCUGAGGCCUGACUGCAGUUGCACUGCCGCGAUAACUCCCACUGUUGGAUCAAUGGCUGGCAAGAUUCCACCGUCAAAGGAGCUCCAAGCAGCAACGCAAGAGGCCCCAGUGCACUGUUCUCUCCUGGACCCUGGAAGAAGGAAAGAAUAGGAGAAGAAGGUCCUGGAAGUGGAAGUGGCAAGGGGAUUUUCUCUGGGACUUCUUUCUAGGAUCGUCGUGCAGGAUCCAUUUUUAAGGUGUAUCGUGCAGGAUCUGUUUUAUUCAACCCAUCUUACGUUCAGUGAGCCACUGGUUCUUCCUGGGGCGCUCAUCAGUUAUACCACCACUUUAUAAUCUUCAGCUGCUUCCCAUUGUUGUCUUUAAAAAGUUUAGACUUCUUACCCUGAAAAUCACCAGGCUUCCCAGACUUUAAUGUACACACCCAUCACCUGGGGAUCUUGUUAAACUGCAGUUCUGAUUCAACAGUCCUGAGGGGUGGCCUGGGAUUCCAUGUGUGUAGUAAGCUUCCAGUGGCCUAUACUUGGAGGAGCAAGGCUCUAAACAUUGGUUCUCAAACUUGAACUUGCAUUAGAAUCGCUGGAGGGUUUGUUAAAAGAGAGGUUCUUGGCCCCGCCCCCAGAGUUUCCGAUUCGGUAGGUCCAGGGUGGGACCUGAGAAUUUGCAUUUCCAGACGUUCCCAGGUGAUGCUGAGGCUGCUGACCCAGGCAGCACAAUUUGAGAAUCAUUGCUUAGAGUAAUGGUUCUCAAAUCUGGCUGCACAUACGUAUUAUCUAAAUAAAAAUGAGGAGAUUUAAAAACAUGGAUUCUCACCUCUGACUCAGAUUCAUGAGAUCAGAAUUUCUGGGGAUAAGGCCCCAGCAUCGAAAUCUUUCUUCACUCCUUAAGUGAUUUUUUUCAAUAUGGAUUGAGAACCAUUGCUCUAAAGCAUGGUUUUCAGCACAAUUUCCGUACAGUGUAUAGAUAGGAAAAUAAGACUAUCCCCUUAGCCCCAAAUUUGCUUUGUACUGCUGUAUUCCAGAACUUUGGAUUAAACUGGUUUUUCCUCCCUGAAAUAUCCUUCCUUAUGCACUGUCAAAACCCCAUCUGUCUUUCAUGGUUUAUCUCAAAUCCCAUCUCUUUCAUGAGGCCUUUCUCCAGGUCUGCAGCCAGCUGAGAGCUCUGUUCCUUGAGCUUUCUAAUUCCAGUCACGAUUGAAAUGCUUGGCCAGGCACAGUGGCUCAUGCCUGUAAUCCCAACACUUUGGGAGGCCGAUGCAGGAGGAUCAUGAGGUCAGGAGAUUGAGACCAACCUGACUAACACAGUGAAACCCCAUCUCUACUAAAUAUACAAAAAAUUAGCAGAGUGUGGUGGCAGGCGCCUGUAGUCCCAGUUACUCGGGAGGCUGAGGCGGGAGAAUGGCAUGAACCCGCAAGACAGAGCUUGCAGUGAGCCGAGAUGGCGCCACUGCACUCUAGCCUGGGUGACAGAGCAAGACGCCAUCUCAAAAAAAAAAAAAAAGAAAGAAAAAGAAAUGCUCACCUCCCUCAUUUUGUCCCUCCUUCCUGUUCCCAGAAUCAUCCUGGGCAGCCUCUUUUGUAAAACCUACGCCCAUACUAGGUUUAUAUGUGUGUCCUUUGACCUUGCCCCACCAGCUUGCAAACGACUCACAGGCAGGAACUGUACCUCAUUCAUCUUGCUUGUCCUUCCCGAAGUGCAUUGUCCUAUCCUAGAAGGAAGUCCCUCACUUAGUACCUAUUGAGUUGCUUUGUGCCUCUGUGGCCCUGGACAUACACUUUCUUUCAUAAUAUCCACCAUUUGUGUAGUUGCCCUAACCUUCUCUAGAAGGUAUAAUCUGCUUGAGUGGAGGGACUACGCCAUGCACAUCUUUACAUCCUCACAUCCCUCUACCCUCAAUACACACUCCUUUUUAGGUUCUUGCUAUUCAAAAUGUGGUCCACGAACCAACUGCAUUGGUAUCACCUGCAGCUUGUUAGACAUGCAGUCUCUCAGGCCCCGCCCAGAUCUACUGAAUCAGAAUCUGCAUUUUAACAAGGUCUCAAAGUGAUAUGUGAACUCAUUAAAGUUAGAGAGGAACUGGGCACCGUGGGUCAGGCCUGUUAUCCCAGUGCUUUGGGAGGCUGAGUUGGGAGGAUCGCUUGAGACCAGGAGUUCAAGGCCAGCCUGGGCAACACAGUAAGACCGCGUCUCUACAACAAAUUUGCCGGGCAUGGUGGUACAUGCCUGUAGUCCCAGCUAUUAACACUUGGGAAGCUGAGGUGGGAGAAUCACUUGAGCCCAGAAGGUCCAGGCUGCAGUGAGCCAAGAUUGCACCACUUCACACCAGCCUGGGUGACACAGCAAGACCUUUCUCAAAAGUAAAAUUAAAUUAAAUUAAAAAGUUAGAGAGGCACUUCUUUGGGAGGUGACAUAGUAAAAUAUUUAAGAGAAUAUGUCCUGGACUCAGACUAUUAAGCUUGGGCGAGUUGUGUAAACUCUCUAUACCACAGUUUUCCCAUCUGUAAAGUGAGAAUAUUAACAGUCCUCACCUCAUGGUGAUGUGGAAACGUUAACUAAAGUAAUGUGUAAGUAAAACACUGAGAACAUUAUAAGCACUCAAUAAUACAGUAUCAACUAUUAUUACUCAAUUAAAACUGGUUAACUUUAAUUGAAUUUGAACUGCCACCUAGAAUAGACAAGAAAAUGAAACACAAUUCUGCAUGGAUGUCAGAAACAUGAAAUAUAAAGUGUAAUAAAUAAAAAUAUUAAAAACCCCUUAGCAAAUGUU